UACAGAGGGGGCAAGCGUUGUUCGGAAUUACUGGGCGUAAAGGGCGCGUAGGCGGCCUGCUAAGUCGAACGUGAAAUCCCCAGGCUUAACCUGGGAACUGCAUCCGAUACUGGAUGGCUUGAAUUCGGGAGAGGGAUGCAGAAUUCCAGGUGUAGCGGUGAAAUGCGUAGAUAUCUGGAGGAAUACCGGUGGCGAAGGCGGCAUCCUGGACCGAGAUUGACGCUGAUGAGCGAAAGCUAGGGGAGCAAACGGG
rnacentral:rRNA from 1 species